UAUAAUUUUUGACUAUUCGUUUUAUUUAAAUUUUUUUAUUGAUAUUUUUGCUUUUAUUAGAUGAUAAAUCAUAAAUAGUACUUUACGUGUGACUAAUUUUUUUCUAAUUUUUUGAAAAUUUUUCAAAUAAAACGGAAGAUCAAACGUUAGACACGGAAACU
rnacentral:pre_miRNA from 1 species